GGCCAGGUAGCCAAGUGGUAAGGCAGAGGUCUGCAAAACCUCUACACGGGGGUUCGAUUCCCCCCCUGGCCUUCA
rnacentral:tRNA from 1 species